CCUGCAAGGGCGUCGUCGAUGGCGCGGACGACGUCGGUCGGACCGCGCGCGAUGGCCAUCCACAUGAUGGUCGCAUCGAUGACGUCUGGUCGUCGGGUCGCGACCCAGCGCACGGUAUCGUGCCCUCGGUCCCACGACUCUGCCGCCAUCAUGACGGCGCCUCUCAUGGCGUCUUGCGGGGUUCCAAACCGGGCCUCGGCAUAGUCGAGCAAUGCAAUGUGCCCGCUGGCGCCGGCGCCGACAAACAGCGGCAGCGGUCGUGGGACGAGGCCCGCCUCCAUGGCGAUGGUCACCGUCGCCAGACUCCCCAACGUCGACGCCGAGUAGAGAGCCCGAUCAAUCUCGACCGAGGGCACCGCGAGAGCCGGAUCGAUCUCGGCGAGUAUGGCGGGCAACAUCCCAUCGCGGCCAGCGUCAAUGGCCGACGCCAGAUGUUCUGCGGUGGGCGCCGUGUAGCCGGCGCAGUCAUGGUCCUUGAGCCAGAGCGCGGCGCCGGGCAAAGGCGCCCGCCAUGCUCGAUCGCCCAAGUCCCAGGUGCAGUCACACGGCGCGAUGCCAGUGCCCGGCGGCAGGCGGUCGUGGGCAAAGGCCAUCGCAUCGGCGUAUCCCGAUCGGGCAGCCGCCCUGGCGAGGCGCACGUCGUCGAGCGCGUCAUGGCGCACGCCCGCAACUGCACGGUUGACCAAGUAGCGUGCGAUACCGAUAUGGCCGCGGCCGAGCGCCGCCAUGAUGAUUGAAACCAGUUCAUAGGGCGCGCUGGGCACGGGCGCCGGUACCCGCUCCUGAAUGUGUGCGCACGUGCGAUGCC
rnacentral:lncRNA from 1 species